rnacentral:rRNA from 1 species
AUGGGUAACUGUCAACUCAACGAUUUGAAUUUAUUUGGCAGACACCAAUUGGCAGUGAGAGGCAUAAGGGGAAUGCUGACACCGCGUUCCAUGCUCCUUCAGACAUGGAGUCCAGGUGCGCACGGCUCCGUCGCCCCGCGCGCUCCAUUGGAGGAGCCCCCGCCCCGCGCGUGGCCGCCUUGGAGUUGGAGCGCUUCCUGCCCCACGCCCCUUGUCUACUCUGGCGGCGGGCUCCUCCUGGCCGCGAUGAUGCCCGGGGCCGGCCACUACACCCACAAGAAGGAUGACGGCAUCUGCAACAAUGAGCUGCAAGGUUUUACUUGCUCGCUUGCUUACUUUGCUGCCUAUACAACAUAUUUCUGCCUUUACUUCAGUAAAACCAGUAAAUAA